ACGUAUUAGUGACAACCAGUUCAUUGGUACUAUACCAGAUUUCAUCCAGAAAUGGACAGGACUUGAGAGACUUGUCAUUCAAGCAAGUGGUUUAAAUGGACCGAUUCCUAGUGCCAUUGGUCUUCUGGGAACCUUAACAGACUUGAGAAUCAGUGACUUGAGCGGACCUGAAUCUCCAU